GACGAACGCUGGCGGCGUGCCUAAUACAUGCAAGUAGGACGCAGUUUCGCACGGGUGAGUAACGCGUAGGUAACUACCUCUUAGAGGGGGAUAACUCUUUGAAACGAUAGCUCAUACCGCCUACUCGUAGAUGGACCUUCGUUGUAUUAGCUAGUGGGUAGGGUAAUGGCCUACCUAGGCAACGAUACAUAGCCGACCUGGGAGGGGGAUCGGGCAAACUGGGACUGGGAAAAGGCCCAGACUUCGACCGGAGGCAGGAGGAGGGAAAUUUCGGCAAGGGGGGGAACCCCGACCGAGCAACGGCGCGGGAGGGAAGAAGGGUUUCGGGUCGGAAAGCUCCGGUGUUAAGGAAGCGGUACUUAACCAGAAAGGGACGGCUAACUACGUGCCAGCAGCCGCGGUAAUUC
rnacentral:rRNA from 1 species